GCGGAGGAAAAGAAACCAACAGGGAUUGCCCUAGUAACGGCGAGUGAAGCGGCAACAGCUCAAAUUUGAAAUCUGGCUUCGGCCCGAGUUGUAAUUUGCAGAGGAAGCUUUAGGCGCGGCACCUCCUGAGUCCCCUGGAACGGGGCGCCACAGAGGGUGAGAGCCCCGUAUAGUUGGAUGCCUAGCCUGUGUAAAGCUCCUUCGACGAGUCGAGUAGUUUGGGAAUGCUGCUCAAAAUGGGAGGUAAAUUUCUUCUAAAGCUAAAUACCGGCCAGAGACCGAUAGCGCACAAGUAGAGUGAUCGAAAGAUGAAAAGCACUUUGAAAAGAGGGUUAAAUAGCACGUGAAAUUGUUGAAAGGGAAGCGCUUGUGACCAGACUUGCGCCGGGCUGAUCAUCCGGUGUUCUCACCGGUGCACUCUGCCCGGCUCAGGCCAGCAUCGGUUCUCGCGGGGGGAUAAAGGCCCUGGGAACGUAGCUCCUCCGGGAGUGUUAUAGCCCGGGGCGCAAUGCCCUCGCGGGGACCGAGGUUCGCGCUCUGCAAGGAUGCUGGCGUAAUGGUCAUCAGCGACCCGUCUUGAAACACGGACCAAGGAGUCAAGGUUUUGCGCGAGUGUUUGGGUGUAAAACCCGCACGCGUAAUGAAAGUGAACGUAGGUGAGAGCUUCGGCGCAUCAUCGACCGAUCCUGAUGUUCUCGGAUGGAUUUGAGUAGGAGCGUUAAGCCUUGGACCCGAAAGAUGGUGAACUAUGCUUGGAUAGGGUGAAGCCAGAGGAAACUCUGGUGGAGGCUCGCAGCGGUUCUGACGUGCAAAUCGAUCGUCAAAUCUGAGCAUGGGGGCGAAAGACUAAUCGAACCAUCUAGUAGCUGGUUACCGCCG
rnacentral:rRNA from 1 species